CCGACCUUAGCUCAGUUGGUAGAGCGGAGGACUGUAGUUGGUCAAACAGACUAUCCUUAGGUCGCUGGUUCGAAUCCGGCAGGUCGGA
rfam:Beta vulgaris subsp. vulgaris Bvchr8.sca018.con0289.1, whole genome shotgun sequence.